rnacentral:snRNA from 1 species
UGGUCACGGUCGCUGAUUU